rnacentral:rRNA from 1 species
GACGAAGGGGGCUAGCGUUGCUCGGAAUUACUGGGCGUAAAGCGCGUGUAGGCGGCUGUUCAAGUUGGGCGUGAAAGCCUUGGGCUUAACCCAAGAAAUGACGCUCAAUACUGGAUAGCUAGAGGACCGGAGAGGAUAGUGGAAUUCCCAGUGUAGUGGUGAAAAUACGUAGAGAUUGGGAAGAACACCAGUGGCGAAGGCGGCUAUCUGGACGGUUUCUGACGCUAAGACGCGAAAGCGUGGGGGAGCAAACAGGG